rnacentral:tRNA from 1 species
GGAGAUAUGGCUCAAUGGCAGAGCACUUGCCUAACACACUCAAGGUCCUGGGUUCAAUCCCCAGUGCAUCCA